rnacentral:rRNA from 1 species
GAUGAACGCUGGCGGCGUGCCUAAUACAUGCAAGUCGAGCGAACAGACGAGGAGCUUGCUCCUCUGACGUUAGCGGCGGACGGGUGAGUAACACGUGGAUAACCUCCCUAUAAGACUGGGAUAACUUCUGGAAACCGGAGCUAAUACCGGAUAAUAUAUUGAACCGCAUGGUUCAAUAGUGAAAGACGGUUUUGCUGUCACUUAUAGAUGGUUCCGCGCCGCAUUAGCUAGUUGGUAAGGUAACGGCUUACCAAGGCAACGAUGCGUAGCCGACCUGAGAGGGGGAGAGGACACACGGGAACUGAGACACGGGCCAGACUCCUACGGGAGGCAGCAGUAGGGAAUCUGCCGAAGUAGGCGAAAGCAUGACGGAGCAACGCCGCGUGAGUGAUGAAGGUCUUGGGAUAGUGAAACUCUGUUAUUAGGGAAGAACAAAUGUGUAAGUAACUAUACACGUAUUGACGGUACCUGAUCAGAAAGCAACGGCUAACUACGUG